CCCCUAGACGUUCUGGGCUGCACGCGCGCUACAAUAAUACGCACAGCGAGUAUCACCGAGCUCGAAAGGGCAAGGUAAACAAUAGAAAAGGUACUGUAAUGGUUAUAGAUCCUUGUAAUUAUUGAUCUUCAACGAGGAAUUCCUAGUAAGUAUGUGUCAUCAUCACGCACUGAUUACGUCCCUGCCCUUUGUACACACCGCCCGUCGCUCCUACCGAUUGGGUGAGCCGAUGAAACUCUCGGAUGUAGGCUAUUCAUAGCCCGCAGAAGAGAUUUGAAUUGUAGCGCUUAGAGGAAGGAGAAGUCGUAACA
rnacentral:rRNA from 1 species